rnacentral:lncRNA from 1 species
CAAAGGUGAGCAAGGGACAAGGUAAUUAAUGCAUCUUUGGACAUCACCUCCCAUGUAUUUCACUCCAUGUCCAUAGAUAUCUUUGCAUUUGUUCCUUUUACUUUGGGGCUAACCCAUGUAGAUGAGAAGAGUAAGAAACAACAAGGAUUGCUCCCAACUCAAGAUGAUCUUCAUCAACAAUGAGCAUCCAUCACUACUACACCUACAUGAAGUCUUCUACGACAAAAACCCAAAGUUAGUUUAUCCCUCUUAGGGGGGAUGCCACAUCUAGGGGGAGCUUUACUCUAAGAGUUGAGUAUAAGUGAUAAUUAAUGCAUUAUGUAAAAGUGGUAACCCCACUUGUGCUUAAUCGAUGAGUAUGACCUAUGAUCAAGUAUUCUUACUUGACUCCUUAGUCAAUAUACUCAUAUAUAGAUGGCUUCGUAAUCGCCAAAAUGCUUGAUAGAUGCUAGAAUGUUUGUGCAUGUUCCCCAUGUUUUAUUUGACAUCUUAUUGUGUGAUCAUGUUGGUAUGCAUGUUUUGCUCAUUCGAGGAUAUCCAAUUGUUCUUAUUUGGCUUUCUAUUUAUUUUGGCCAAUUGGAUAUACAAGAAUGCCUAAGUACCCCUC